ACUUAGAUCUCUUGCAACACCAAUUCCAGCUGCUCUUUUUUAUUCCCCAUCCUCACAGGGUCUGAGAGAGUGUUCUCUUCUUCAUGGCCAUUUGUGCCAUGAUGGCUGGGAAAUGGGAUAUAUCCAUCUGCAUGAAAUGCUCCAUAUGCAAACCCCAAAAGCGUGAAGAGGAGAAGCAGUAUCACAUCUUGGCCUUGAAAUCGUUUCAUGCUGCUCACAGAUGCACCUGCCACUGGGAUCAGAGCAAGCCAAAUGAUUAUUUCAUAAGCCAAUACAAAUUGCUCUCAGGAAACAGGUCUGUGUGUCCUGUGACUACACAGGGGGUAGAAGCUGCUUACUAGAACCCUGCAUCUAAGAGUAAAAGAGACCAGAGAGUUAUGAGAGGAUUGGGACUGUAAAAUUAGUGUGGAGUGGGUGCUGCUUUCAUAUGGACACUUAGAGGGGAGAACUCCAGGAAAAAAAUGGACUGGAAAGAAGCAGUACAGAAAAAGACCAAGAGAGUAAACAGAAGACUAGGGCAGAGUGCUGGUAAACAUUUGGGUUCCUCAGCUGGCCCAGAACAAUGGUUGGAAGAUGGGUGGACCAGAGAAGGAUUUAAAGCCAAGCUCUGACUUGCAAACAAAAUUCAUGUUUGGAUUUGACCUCGCUGAUUGUCAUGGGUGUUGCUGAGUUUACAGUUUUCCUCACUGGGGAAGGAACACGCAGGGACAGGAGCAGCAGGGUCAGGUGUGGCUGCUCACUACUACAGGCUUGGUGUUUUCCUCUCUCUGGACUUUUCCCUGGGAAAGUCCAUUGUUGCUACAGAAUCAUUUACCAUCAUUUUCCUUCUAACUUUCGUUCAGAGGAUGGAAAAUUUGCAGCAAGUCAGAGGGACUUUGAUAUGGGAGUUUGUUAAAUACAAUUAAUACUUGGAAU
rnacentral:lncRNA from 7 species